ensembl:lincRNA
CUCGGUUUUAUAUUUAAUUUUAAUGUGCUCUUCUGAGAAGUGUUAUAUUCCUGAGGGAGAGAGAGAGAGAUGGGUUGCCUGGGAGACACGGUUCUCAGGCCAGAAUCUCUGUUGUCUACGAAGUAGCGUGGACAUUACAGAAAGUUACCAUACGAUGGAAUGAUUGGAGAAGAGAUCGCUUGACUAGAAGAAGGCGUUGGGAGGCAGAUGCAUGGGCGGGAACACGCCUGCGCGUUCUCGCCGUGCGCGCCAGAUGGCGGGGCUACCCCUCUCCUGACGCCCAGCGGCUCCUGAGCCGGUCACACACACUAAGCAGGCCAAGGUGUGUUCCUGCCGGACAAUGGUGCAACUGUUCACUCUCCAGGAGCAGGGGGCGUGGCUUGUCAUCGGCUUGCUACAAGGGUUUCUGCUCGGUCAGGAAGUGCUGGCCCUUGGCCCUGCCCUGGGUUGCUCUGCCGCUGUUCCCCCCACCCUCCAAGGGGUACUCAUCACCUAUCCAGGCGCAUCACGUUGCUCUGCAGACUCGGGGCGGGGAACUGGUGUAGAGACGCUGACGCACUGUGAGACCCCGCAAAACAACAGAAAGAAAACCAAAGAACCUCUUCUGUGCCUGGGCAGUCCUCAGCCACCUCACGAGGGGCUCAGGGAUUUCUCUCUUUCUGUGGCAGCCAAAUUCGUGAUGAAGCAAUACCUUCUGGCCAAGACAGAGACACUUUCAGAGGCACACACAGUCAGCAGCUGGCUCAGAAGGACCCGGGGUAUUGGAUCUGGACACCGAAAUAGGUAAUGUUGGAUGUCCUAAUAUUCUCUCACAAUAUGGGAGAAAUUAGAUGCACUUUUGCCAGGUGCCCAAAUAGCUCUGAAUAAAUUAAAAAUAAGAAUCUUUUUAGUAUAUUGAGUACUCUCUGUGGCAGGGACUCGGAUAAGUGUUACAGUUACUUCAUUUUCAUGCUUGAUGAUGGUUAGUUUAAGUCUUGGCUUGGCUAGGCUCUGGCACCCAGUGACUUAAUCAAAGACAAAUCUAGGUGUCGCCAUGAAGGUACUUGGUAAAUAUGGCUAACACCUACUAUCAAUCUUGGGUUUUUUGUUUUGUUUUAUUUUAUUUUAUUUUAUUUUUUUGAGAGAGAGUGCAAGGGGAGGGGCAGAGGGAGAUGGGGAGGGGGAGAGAGAGGUGAAAGAUGGGGAGAGAGAGAGAAAAGUAAAUCUCAAGCAGACUCCAUGCUAACCACAGGGCCCGACAUGGGGCUCGAUGCCAUGACCCUGAGAGCAUGACCUGAGCCAGACACUUAACUGACUGAACCACCUGGCACCCCUGCUGUUAGUGGAUUUUUAAGCAAAGGGAGAUUACCCUCCAUAAUAUGGGUGGGUCUCACCCAAUCAGUUGAAAGGCCUUAUGAGCAACAACUGAGGUUUCCUGAAGAAGAAGAAAUUCUGCAUCAACACUAGCAGCAUCAACUCCUGCCUGUGUCUCCAGCCUGCCCUAUGGGUUUCUGAUUUGCCAGUCCACAUACUGUAUAAGCCAAAGUCUUCAAAGAAAGCUCUUGAUAUACAUAAAGGAGAUAGAUAGAGAUAAAGAUAGUCUGUCUUUCUGGAGAAGCCUUCUAGAAAUCCUACGAUUAUCUCCACUUUGAUUCUCAGAGGCGUUGUCAUUAGGGAACCUGCCCUGUCACCCAGCUAGCAAGAGGCAGAGCUGGGUCUGUUUGCAGCAUCUGCGGUUGAAAUGCCACGAGAUGUGGUCUUCCCAGGCUCCUGGAAGUACAAGAAGCCCGGCCAGGGAGUUCUGGAGAAACGAAACGCAUGCUGAAGUAGAUGGCAAGCCUGCAGCCAUUUCCCUGAGGGUUUCCAGGAGUUAAGGCUGAAGACUGACUCUUGAGUCUCAGAAAACCUGCUUCUUCACAGCCUGAUGUGGCAAACAAACCCACUUCUGGCCACUGUGUUGCCGUCUUCAACUUUUCUUGCCAUGGCUAACUUGGCGUGCGUUCCUGCCAGCCUGGUCCCCCAGUCCCUCCAUCCAUACCUGGGCGGCAUGUGUCCCCAGCUCAGCUGCUCCACACUUUGUCUAACUGCCUCUCGGCCGCCUGCUCUGCAUUCCUGCCCUG